GACACACAAAAAUCUUACACCAAACUUUUAUCUCAUGUUUAGCUCGCAACCUUUAUAUAAAAAUAUCAAAGUCAAAAUAAUAACCCUCUCUUGAUUACAUUAACAAACUAACAAGAGUUUGCACAAGAUAACUCUAGUUAAAUUUUUGCUCUCUUAACAUUAAAAUAGUAUUUAAAUGAAUAUGAUAUUUAUAAGAGCAUGAUAAUGAGAAAAAGAGAGAUUAUUUUCAUAUUUCUUGUGUAUUUCCAAAUGAUCACAAAUCCUCAUUUAAUAGUAAAAAAAUUGGCCAACAUAGGAAAAAGAUUUAUGACUGAUCCACA
rnacentral:lncRNA from 1 species